GGUCCAAGGAUGGAAUCCUCCCUGUUCUAGGGCUGGCAGGAGUUGAGAAGGGCAAGUGAAAAGCUGGCUGUGGGGUUCAGGAGAGCUCUCCCACCGGCCCAUGCUGUGCGGAUCUGUCAUCCCUGCCUCAGCGCUUUGUCCCCAGUAAGAACCUGAUGCCAACACGUCUCACAGGCAACCGUUUUUCUUCAAGAAUCCUCUCCUGGGGCUGGCAGAACCCACACCCUCUGAGCAUCCUUCUACACUAUAGAGUCCCACAGGCCCUCUUCAUCCCUCCAAGGAGCAGACUUGCGAUCUCAUUCCCCACCUCUAGGACUUUACAACCUAAGAUGUGCUGGUAUAGAUAAAGACAGAUAAGGAUACAAGGAUACGUGGUGGAGAAGACAUCACAUCACUAAGCAAGCACUCUUCAGCUCAUUCAUGCAGAAGUGACUUGUGGAGGAAUCUGGAUCCUGUGCUGGCUAUGACAACAUGACACAAGCUAAGGCCAUCUGGGAAGAAGGAAUCUUGGAAACCCAUAGGAUUGGCCUAUAGGCAAAUUGGCACAGGAGCCACCGUGGAAACUCCAGAAGGCUGAGACCUGAGUGGGGCAGGAAUGAAGAGAGAUGUGUGAUGAAGGGUGAAGGGAAAGACUGUCAACAGAUAUGAUGAAAUGGGUGGGGUGUGGCCUUUGCGGUGGUGUGGAAGAAGGGAAAGGCUGAGGCUGCCAGGGCCGGGGCCAGGCAGCUUCCAGAGAUGUGGAAAGAGGGUAUUCUGUCAGGGUAUUUAUUAACCUGCCACUUUAUGCUAAGUGCUAUGUUGUAACUGGGUUUAGGCCUUUAAAAUAUUCUCUCUCUGUGUGUGUAUGUGUGUGUUGUGUGUGUCUAUAGCUCUACAUAUCUAUCUACUUAUCUACAUAUCUAUCAUCUCUAUAUCUAUCUAUCUCUAUCUGUCCAUCUAUAUCUGCCUUUCUUGUCUGUCUGUCUGUGUCUCUCUGUCUCUCUCUCUCUGUGCGUAUGUUUUUGUGUAUGAGUACAGGCACAUGCAUGCCACAGUACAUGUGUGGAAUCAUAGGACAACCCGUGUGUUGUCUGUCAUUUAAGACAAGGGCUCUGUGUCUCCCACUGCGCUCAUCAGACUCACUGACCUGGGAGCUUCCACGGAUUCCCCUGUCUUCACCACCUCCCGUACCCACAAAGGAGUUCUGGAAUUGCAAACUCAGCUCUACCGUGUCUGGCCUUGACACAGAUUUUGAGGAUCCAAACUCUGAUUCUCGUGUUUUCACAGAAAGCUAUCUCCCCGGUCCCUGGGCCCUUCCCGAAACCACUGACUUCUUGCUGGUAAAGAGUACACAUGAUCCAGCAGGGGGCCACUCAUCUCUGGGCUCACUGGGAACCAGGACUUGGCAGGACCAGAGAGCUGAGAGAGAGAAACUGGCCUCAGGAAUAUAAAAAGGGACCCAUGCCUCCAGGCCAGCCUACUCCACCAUGCUGGUCCUGUGAAACCACGACCAAAUAACGUCAACAGGGAGCAGAGCGUGCAAGGACUUUCAUCUGUCCCAGCCCCAGGAGGUCUGGAUUACAUUUCCAAGGGGAGAGGGUGCAGACUCAGCUUCCAAAGGGACCCCAACACAUAAAGACGCUGGACCUCCAGGCUGUGGCCUGUGAGUGCUGUCCUGACCCUAGGAAGAAGGCCCAGCACAGCCCUCCACAUCUGAUCUCACUAAGGCUUACCACCGGCCACAUGUGGGUUUUGCAGUUUGAAUGUUCUGCAGCACACACCACUUUCCAAGCUUUCUCCUUUGAAGUCUGGGGCAGUCUGACUUUCAGCUUCACAAUUUGUUCCUGCCUGGGCCCGCUCUUCUCAGAGUCCCAGGCCUGGAGAUGGUUCAGCCAGCCACACCCACGGUGACCUCUGCCUAGAAUGCCCUCUUCUCACUGGCUGUCCAUCCAUCAGUCAUCCUCAAGAUUCCAGGAACCCCUCCUGCUGUAGACUCUCUUCUAGAUAUGAUCUUGUGCCUCCAACACACCACACUCACCUCUCGAUGGCACCAGGGUCUCCUGUAGCUCAGGCUGAACUUGACCUCACUAUGAAGCCAAGGAUGACCUUGAAUUCCUUAUCCUCCAUCUCCAAGGGCUGGGAGCUGGAAUUACAGGACGCCACACACCACUGGGCCGGCUCCAAAGGCUGAAGCAAUGGAAGUCCACACCCUCUCCGACUUCCAGCCUCCAAGCUCUUUUCUAAGCCACACAUAGCAAGCUUAAAUCCCAGCACUCUGGAGGCUGAGGCAAGGACAUGAAAGUAUCAAGAUGAAUGUUUGUUAAACAUUUCAUAGUGAAACCUGGUCUCAAAACAACAAGAACAACAACAACAAAAAUUAGACUUCUUUGUAAAUGUACCCAGUGUCUGGAGCUUUGCCACAGCAACACCAAACUAACUCACACACCACUAGUAAGUUAGUUUUGGCGCUAGAACUUCAAGGAGCAGCCAAAACGGGGAUAGACAGAACCCAGGAUUCCAGCAGCUUCUGAAUUUGUGACGUAACUUCCUUUUUUUUUUUUUCCUGGACCCCAGGGUAAUGACUUGCCCACUUGAAACACUUGCAGAAUGGUAGGCAAAAGUGCCAAUGACUGUCUUAUACACCUCAACAGUGAUGGUGAAGCAAAAUUACUAUGGCAGGUCCUCCACCCACUUUGAAAAGCGCCUAAGCUCAGCACACACUCAAAGACGUGGAUGGGACUGGCAGAGAUAAGGAGCCUGGAGGAGACAGCAAGGCGGCGAGCAAACGUGAGACAAGGAGAGAAAGAGACCAGCCCUAGGCUGACCGAGCCAGGUGCUCACACCUUACCAGCUUCUUGCCCCGGGUGUGUUGCCAUAGUCAAACUGCUCUGGCUUCUCAAGGGUGAUGACAGGACACAGCACUGCCAGGAGCAGUUCCUGAUCCAUAUGUGAAAAUCUACUGUCAAAAUUACCAUGAUUAUUAUGCCAGGGAGUCAGGUUAUGAGGAGUUCCCCCUUUCUCAAGCAUCCCUUCGUUUCUUCAUGCACUGAGCAGAUUAGUAAUGUCGCUGUGCCAGACACGUUGGCACAGGAGAUACAAGGUGUGUUAGCCAGAGUCUGGGAGAUAGGAGACAUUGGGAUAAUUAUAUUUAAAGUUUUGGUUUGGGCCACUGGGUCCUAGAGACCAGCUCCAGCAUGCAAGGUAAACCACAGGGCCACAGCGUCGGGGUGCUGACCAGCUGGUGGCUGGUGUUUCUCUCUAUACUUUAACUCUUAAUCAUUCAAGCUGGUAGCCUUGUUGUUCUCUAUACACACUUUUACUCUUAAACUUCCAGGCUGAGUCGCCUUGCUAUUUGGGGCUCUCUCUAUAUACAGUUUAAUUCUAUAUGUACAGUUUAACUCCCAGGGGCCGCUGGUCACAAGAGCCUCUAAAGGAAAAGACAGCAGAGGGUCUUAAUCAGUCAAGCCAGGUGGCUCCUCUAACUCGGAGCGCAAGCAGCAGCAGCCCUGACAGUUUCUUGAGGUAAAUACAAGGGCUGUAAGAAGAAAAAGCUUAGUUCUUUUUAACUUAAUAGCUCAGCAGUGAACAGUGGCUUACUGGAAGGUAGAGUCCCAGCUAAGAAGGCCGAUAAAACGCUCCAGACUGCUUAUCACUUACUAAACUCAAUAACUUAGAAACAUGCAAAAUUAUACAGCUUUGGAGACAAAGCAGGCAGAUAUUUAUAAACAAAAGGCAUAUGCACACAUACAGUCAAUAGACAGUACGAGGGCGCUCCCAAAGACACCAUCCAUUCACACAUAUAUAAACAUAAAUGUACACAAACACAGUAUAGACAGACAGACAGACACAUUUUCGGAUGAAGUGGGUGGCCUCAACAUGCUUAAGGGUUUUUAUACUCUCUAGUACAAAGGUUCUCAAUGUAUGGAAAAAUUACAUCAUUCAAAAAUAGAUACAAUCGUUACAUCAAAAAGGGAGUUACGGCAGGACUGUUGAUCCUAGUAUCUAAUUAGAGAAGUUUAAAGCAGUCGUGUUUUAAAUAUGCUCAUUAGAAAUUCAAAGCAUAAGUUUUAUCUUUUUAUUUCAAAUGUCCAUUGUGUAUUCACAGCAAGUUUUUUAAUGUCAAGGUUUUGUGGGUUUU